AUUGAACGCUGGCGGCAGGCCUAACACAUGCAAGUCGAACGGUAACAGGAAACAGCUUGCUGUUUCGCUGACGAGUGGCGGACGGGUGAGUAAUGUCUGGGAAACUGCCUGAUGGAGGGGGAUAACUACUGGAAACGGUAGCUAAUACCGCAUAACGUCGCAAGACCAAAGAGGGGGACCCUCGGGCCUCUUGCCAUCGGAUGUGCCCAGAUGGUAUUCGCUUGUUAGUGGGGUAACGGCUCACCAAGGCGACGAUCGCUAGCUGGUCUGAGAGGAUGACGAGCCACACAGAACUGAGACACGGUCCAGACUCCUACGGGAGGCAGCAGUGGGGAAUAUUGCACAAUGGGCGCAAGCCUGAUGCAGCCAUGCCGCGUGUAUGAAGAAGGCCUUCGGGUUGUAAAGUACUUUCAGCGGGGAGGAAGGGAGUAAAGUUAAUACCUUUGCUCAUUGACGUUACCCGCAGAAGAAGCACCGGCUAACUCCGUG
rnacentral:rRNA from 1 species